CGAAGCGUGCGAUUGGAUUGCACGUCUAAGCAGUAAGGCUGAGUAUUAGGCAAAUCCGGUACUCGUUAAGGCUGAGCUGUGAUGGGGAGAAGACAUUGUGUCUUCGAGUCGUUGAUUUCACACUGCCGAGAAAAGCCUCUAGAUAGAAAAUAGGUGCCCGUACCGCAAACCGACACAGGUAGUCAAGAUGAGAAUUCUAAGGUGAGCGAGCGAACUCUCGUUAAGGAACUCGGCAAAAUGACCCCGUAACUUCGGGAGAAGGGGUGCUCUUUAGGGUUAACGCCCAGAAGAGCCGCAGUGAAUAGGCCCAAGCGACUGUUUAUCAAAAACACAGGUCUCUGCUAAACCGUAAGGUGAUGUAUAGGGGCUGACGCCUGCCCGGUGCUGGAAGGUUAAGAGGAGUGGUUAGCUUCUGCGAAGCUACGAAUCGAAGCCCCAGUAAACGGCGGCCGUAACUAUAACGGUCCUAAGGUAGCGAAAUUCCUUGUCGGGUAAGUUCCGACCCGCACGAAAGGCGUAACGAUUUGGGCACUGUCUCAACGAGAGACUCGGUGAAAUCAUAGUACCUGUGAAGAUGCAGGUUACCCGCGACAGGACGGAAAGACCCCGUGGAGCUUUACUGUAGCCUGAUAUUGAAAUUCGGCACAGCUUGUACAGGAUAGGUAGGAGCCUUUGAAACGUGAGCGCUAGCUUACGUGGAGGCGCUGGUGGGAUACUACCCUAGCUGUGUUGGUUUUCUAACCCGCACCACUUAUCGUGGUGGGAGACAGUGUCAGGCGGGCAGUUUGACUGGGGCGGUCGCCUCCUAAAAGGUAACGGAGGCGCUCAAAGGUUCCCUCAGAAUGGUUGGAAAUCAUUCAUAGAGUGUAAAGGCAUAAGGGAGCUUGACUGCGAGACCUACAAGUCGAGCAGGGUCGAAAGACGGACUUAGUGAUCCGGUGGUUCCGCAUGGAAGGGCCAUCGCUCAACGGAUAAAAGCUACCCCGGGGAUAACAGGCUUAUCUCCCCCAAGAGUUCACAUCGACGGGGAGGUUUGGCACCUCGAUGUCGGCUCAUCGCAUCCUGGGGCUGUAGUCGGUCCCAAGGGUUGGGCUGUUCGCCCAUUAAAGCGGUACGCGAGCUGGGUUCAGAACGUCGUGAGACAGUUCGGUCCCUAUCCGUCGUGGGCGUAGGAAAUUUGAGAGGAGCUGUCCUUAGUACGAGAGGACCGGGAUGGACAUACCUCUGGUGUACCAGUUGUCGUGCCAACGGCAUAGCUGGGUAGCUAUGUGUGGACGGGAUAAGUGCUGAAAGCAUCUAAGCAUGAAGCCCCCCUCAAGAUGAGAUUUCCCAACUUCGGUUAUAAGAUCCCUCAAAGAUGAUGAGGUUAAUAGGUUCGAGGUGGAAGCAUGGUGACAUGUGGAGCUGACGAAUACUAA
rnacentral:rRNA from 1 species